GAUGAACGCUGGCUACAGGCUUAACACAUGCAAGUCGAGGGGAAACGACGGGGAAGCUUGCUUCCCCGGGCGUCGACCGGCGCACGGGUGAGUAACGCGUAUCCAACCUGCCUCUGACUGAGGGAUAACCCGUCGAAAGUCGGCCUAAUACCUCAUGGCAUCGUCUGCGGGCAUCCAACGACGAUUAAAGAUUUCAUCGGUCAGAGAUGGGGAUGCGUCUGAUUAGCUUGUUGGCGGGGUAACGGCCCACCAAGGCGACGAUCAGUAGGGGUUCUGAGAGGAAGGUCCCCCACAUUGGAACUGAGACACGGUCCAAACUCCUACGGGAGGCAGCAGUGAGGAAUAUUGAUCAAUGGGCGAGAGCCUGAACCAGCCAAGUAGCGUGCAGGAUGACGGCCCUAUGGGUUGUAAACUGCUUUUAUGCGGGGAUAAAGUGAGGGACGUGUCCUUCAUUGCAGGUACCGCAUGAAUAAGGACCGGCUAAUUCCGUG
rnacentral:rRNA from 1 species